GACGAUCAGUAGCCGACCUGAGAGGGUGAUCGGCCACAUUGGAACUGAGACACGGUCCAAACUCCUACGGGAGGCAGCAGGGGGGAAUAUUGCACAAUGGGCGAAAGCCUGAUGCAGCAACGCCGCGGGAGUGAUGAAGGCCUUCGGGUCGUAAAACUCUGUCCUCAAGGAAGAUAAUGACGGUACUUGAGGAGGAAGCCCCGGCUAA
rnacentral:rRNA from 1 species